CCUACGGGGGGCAGCAGUGGGGAAUAUUGGACAAUGGGGGAAACCCUGAUCCAGCGACGCCGCGUGGGUGAAGAAGGCCUGCGGGUUGUAAAGCCCUUUCGGUAGGGACGAAAGCUCUUGCUCUAAUAAUGCAAGAGGUUGACUUAACCUACAUAAGAAGCACCGGCUAACUCUGUGCCAGCAGCCGCGGUAAUACAGAGGGUGCGAGCGUUAAUCGGAAUUACUGGGCGUAAAGCGCACGUAGUCGGCUUGUCAAGUCGGGUGUGAAAUCCCCGGGCUCAACCUGGGAACUGCAUCCGAAACUGACUUGCUAGAGUAUGGGAGAGGGAGGCGGAAUUUCUGGUGUAGCAGUGAAAUGCGUAGAUAUCAGAAGGAACAUCAGUGGCGAAGGCGGCCUCCUGGACCAAUACUGACGCUCAGGUGCGAAAGCGUGGGGAGCAAACAGGAUUAGAUACCCUUGUAGUC
rnacentral:rRNA from 1 species